UACGGGGGGGGCAAGCGUUGUUCGGAAUUACUGGGCGUAAAGGGCGCGUAGGCGGCCUUCUAAGUCGGACGUGAAAUCCCUCGGCUCAACCGAGGAACUGCGUCUGAUACUGGAAGGCUUGAAUCCGGGAGAGGGAUGUGGAAUUCCAGGUGUAGCGGUGAAAUGCGUAGAGAUGUGGAGGAACACCGAUGGCGAAGGCAGCCUCCUGGGCCAGCACUGACGCUCAUGCACGAAAGCGUGGGGAGCAAACAGG
rnacentral:rRNA from 1 species